GACGAACGCUGGCGGCGUGCUUAACACAUGCAAGUCGAACGGAAAGGCCCUGCUUUUGUGGGGUGCUCGAGUGGCGAACGGGUGAGUAACACGUGAGUAACCUGCUCUUGACUUUGGGAUAACUUCAGGAAACUGGGGCUAAUACCGGAUAGGAGCUCCUGCUGCAUGGUGGGGGUUGGAAAGUUUCGGCGGUUGGGGAUGGACUCGCGGCUUAUCAGCUUGUUGGUGGGGUAGUGGCUUACCAAGGCUUUGACGGAUAGCCGGCCUGAGAGGGUGACCGGCCACAUUGGGACUGAGAUACGGCCCAGACUCCUACGGGAGGCAGCAGUGGGGAAUAUUGCACAAUGGGCGGAAGCCUGAUGCAGCAACGCCGCGUGCGGGAUGACGGCCUUCGGGUUGUAAACCGCUUUCGCCUGUGACGAAGCGUGAGUGACGGUAAUGGGUAAAGAAGCACCGGCUAACUACGUG
rnacentral:rRNA from 1 species